UACGGAGGGGACUAGCGUUGUUCGGAAUUACUGGGCGUAAAGGGUUCGUAGGUGGCCAACUCAGUCAGACGUGAAAUCCCUCAGCUCAACUGGGGAACUGCGUCUGAUACUAGAUGGCUCGAGUGCAGGAGAGGAACGCGGAAUUCCAGGUGUAGCGGUGAAAUGCGUAGAUAUCUGGAGGAACAUCAGUUGCGAAGGCGGCUCUCUGGACCAGCACUAACACUGAGGUACGAAAGCGUGGGGAGCAAACAGG
rnacentral:rRNA from 1 species